rnacentral:tRNA from 1 species
CAGAGAGUAGUUUAAGUAGUAAAAUGCUGGCUUUGGGGGCCAGGGAUGGGUAAAGCCCUGUCCUAA